GGUUGGUAGGUUGAUCCUUGUCAAAUAUGUGAUGGAUGCUUUUCCUACAUACAUGAUGAGCUUGUUUCUAAUACGAAAAAGCAUUGAGAAAAGAUUAACAGAUUAUGGAGGUCCUUCUUAUGGCAAGGAAAUAAGGAGAAAAGAGUUUAUAAUCUGAUUAAGUGGGAUUCACUAGACACUAAAGAGAAAUCAAGAGGGCUUGCCAUGAAAUAUAUCAGCAUACAGAGUGAAUGCUUACUUCGAAAAUCGCUUUGGAGGUUUUGCACAAUGAUAUGGCUUUGUGGAGAAGGUUUAUUGAAGAUAAAUAUGGUUUGCAAAGCUAGUGGACCACUGAGAAGGUCAUGGGCACCUUUGGAUGCAGUGUUGGGAAGACCAUCAGGAGGUUGUUGCAUUAGUUUUACAACAACAUUUCUUUCCAAGUGGGUAAUGGAAUGAGAGUUGAUUUCUGGAGUGAGCAUUGGGUAGGGGAAGAUAACUUGAAAAGUCUUUUCCCCCCAUCUUUGCAUUCUGGUCUCACAAAGGAAUACCUCAGUCUCAGGUGUGGAGUCCCCAGAGUUGGAAUUUGAUCUUUAGAAGAGCAGUGGAAGAUUGGGAAGUGACAAAGAUUGUUAGACUUCUCCAUGUUUUGAGUAGUUUCUCAGGUAUUGCGACUAAUGUAGACAAUCCUAUUUGGUCACUACACAAUAAAGGAGCCUUCACAGUGAAGUCAUGCUACUGGUGGAGGGAUAAUAGUCAAGUCAACACAGAAUUAUAGGUUCAGAAACUAAUUUGGAAGGUUAAAAGUCCAUUAAAAGUAGCUUAUUUUAAUUGGUUCGUGGUAAUACUAGAAUGCCUAACACAUGAAGUGUAACAAGGGAGCGGUUUCCAGAUUUGCUCAAGGUGUUAAAUGUGCAAUCAACAAGCAAAGGAGUCAGUUGGGUAAGGCCUAAGUCUAUUAUGGAUUUGCUCAACUGCUGGAAUGAUAUUGGCAGCAGAGAAGCCAAUGAAGAUUGUUGGAGAUUCAUGCCAGCUUGUGAGUGAUGGACAUUGUGGAAGGAGAGAAAUUCAAGAUGUUUUGAAGGCAAAGGGACCAACAGCCAGGUGACUAGAAUCCAACGACUUAGUUUACUUUAUUUUUGGUGUAAACAGGAUACGGUAGGGCAUAUAAUAGACAUAGUUGACUUCAAGGGACAAAGUGCACACGCCAUGUGUGGAUUGUAAAAUGAUCCUCAUCAUUAAUUGUUGAUGAGUUAUUUGUGAAUACAAAAGUUACCGUUACUUAAAAAAAAACUCCCCUUAGAACUUUGUCAUAAGCCUUUUCUAGAUAGAUGAACACCAUGUGAAGGGCCCUCUUCCUCUCGCUAUAUUCUAUACUAGCCUCCUAACCAGAUGAAUAACUUCUGUAGUUGAACACUCCGACAUGAAUCCGAGCUGGUUCUCGAAAAUAGACACACUCCUCUUCACCCUCAUCUCUCUCCCUCUCUCUAACUUUCAUAACAACUUGAUGCCCUUAUGGUUGUUGCAAUUCUGAAUGUCACUUCUGUUAUUGUACAACGGGAUAAUCAUACUCCACUUGCAUUUUUAUGGAAUCUUUACCGUCUGCAAAGCAAGUGAUUUUAAACAACUAGUCAACCAUUCCAUACUUGUCGUGUUUGUGCUCAUCCAAAAUUCCAUCGGAAUCUCGUCAGGCCCAACCUCUCUCCCCCUACGCAUCCAAAUGAAUAACAUCUUUAACCUCCUCAAUCUUUAUACACUUAAAAUACCCAAAACCACAUCACCUUCCGAAGUGCUCCAAUCUCCUUCCCCUUUUCAUUCAAUAGUUUAUGGAAUAAAAGUGUCUUCUUCGUCUAAUAAGUGCCUCAUCUACUAAUACUUUUCCAUCUUCAUCUUGAUGCACUUCACUUGGUUCAGGUCUCGAUUCCUUCUCUCUCUCAUCUUAGCUAUCCUAUAAAGCUUCUUAUCUCCGCUUUUGUCCUCUAGUUCUACACAUAAACAUUCAGAAGUUGCUACUUUUUCACCGUAACUGCUACCUUUUCCUCCUUCCACACCAUCUUAUACCCUUCCUAUUCUUCUUCUCCUCCUCAUCCUUACUCUCCACCAACUUCGCAUAUGCCACCUUCUUGACUUCCACUUUUCCUUGGAUGUCCCCAUUCCACCACCAAUCCCCUCGAUACCCACCAAAGUUACCUCUCAAGACUCCCAGCCGGUCCCAACAUAUUUUUAACUGAGGUGUAGUUAUUGUAUGGCGUAGCUCAGGGUUUAACUCACUUCGGCAAAGGUAGAGGUUUUGAAUCUUAGUCACAAGUUCGUACCCUACGCAAGAUGAACUAAGCCUAGUAUUUGAGUUUAAAAGGGUAGAGGGACAGACCCAUCAUUCUCGAGUUCGAAGGUUGUGUCGAUCCUAGGAUUUUGGCUCCAAACGGAUUUUUGGGUAUCAAAUAAAAAAGAAAGAAAGAUAGAGUAAGGUCAAUUUUACGGAAGAAAUAAGAUCAGGAAACAGAAAAUGAGAAUAUAACAAAUAUUGAAGAAAAGCAGAAAAGAAAGGGAAAGAAAAGAGGAAGAGUCACCUUCUCAAAAAAGAAAAGAAAAGGAAGAUUCAUAAGAUGGGGAAAUAUAUGAUGUUCUUCGUCAAAAGAGCUGGUGGGUCCCUCCAGAAUUUUGAGUCUUAGGUACAACGAGCACAUCCAAUCAUCUCUUAAGAUUGUGGAGGCAUCUUUAGCCACAUGGAGACUUCUUAAAAAGUUAUGUGAGAGAAAUAGUGACACCAAAAUGAAGCUCAUUUUCACUUGCCUGCGCAUAUUUAAAUAGGUUGAGUGAGUGAUGAUGAUAAUGGGUGAAAUUUGGGUUCAACCCAUAUUCAAAUUGCGCCAAAAUUGGUCACUCAUGGGUCUGAGUUGUCUACGGCUAAAUCACUCACUGCUGCAUAGGUAACUAGUUAAGAUUUAAUUAAUGUGUCACUCUUGAGAUUUUUGAGGCCUUUUUUUUAGUUGUUUUCCCGAGUUUGAUUCAGUCAGUACUUUUUGAGAAGUCUUUUCUUUAACUUCAAAAAUAGUUUGCACUGGCAUAUUGUAGGAAAUAUAUGUCAUCAUUAGCUCUUCGAGGAUACAUACAUGUUCACGUGCAGUACUCCACCUUCUGAAGCAAUUACCUGUAGCUUUUUGCUAGCAUCAAGUUUGAAAAUUGUAUAGAAAUACUAACAAUAUAUAUUAUUUUAAAACGUUUAGCUAUUUGGUGACCCUUCAAGGUUAUAAUAUUACUAAUUUGAUAGUAGCAUUACACUGAUGUACCUUCAUCGGAUAUAUUUUAGUUGUUAACGUGCUACUUAUAGGAUAAGUUUAUUAUCAAGGUUUCGAUAUUAACAAAAAUAAUGCUCAAAUUCAUAUCUGGUGAUGUAUAAAAUCUAACAACAGAAGUUUCACAACCCCUAUAUAAAAUGGUACAAUCUUACCCAACCAUUUAUAAACCUAAUUUUAUCCCGCUUAAAUAUGGGUGGGUUGGAUUAUGACUGUUUUUGCUCAACCUGUUUUCUUCCCGCCCAUUUGCCACCACCAUACAUGAAUAACAGAGUUGCAGCAGAUUUAGAGAGGUGCUAGUGCCGUAAACAUUGGUCAUCUUAACUUAUGAAGCAUAAAAACCAUCUGCAGCCUACUUCAACCCUCAUUGGAGUGGCCAAAGCUACAAAAUAUAAAAGGCUUGGGUAUAGUGUUCUAAACUUGGCGAAUCAGUGGUAAUGAAAACAUGCAGCUAUUGAUUUACUAGAUAUUAAUAAAUCCAAAUGACAGUGUUUGCAGUCAAAGAUUGGGCCAUUUUUUAUCUUCUUGAAGAUUGCUUUUAUCUUCUUUUCAUCUUUCCUUUCUUUGUGUAAAGCAUGUGAAAUAUUUUGUUCUGGGGUUCCCACUGAGACUUGAACCAAGAACUUUUACUUCCAUCUAACCGUUUAUCACCUCAUCUAAAAACACAAACGGGUAGAUGCGACAGAAUUUGAUUUAUCUAUUUAUGCGAACAUCGUCCACCCCACCCCCUCCCCAAUGCCAAUCAGCAACAA